rnacentral:lncRNA from 1 species
UGACCGCAUAUGUCUGAUUUUUCUCUCUCCUUUUCCUUUUUUUUUUUCCAGUGGACUUUAAAGCUCUUUGAAUGUACAUUCAAUAUGUAGCAGCUUUCAGCACAGGGACAGGAAAAUCUUUGAAAGCUGGCAUCCUAUUUCCUAAUGCAGACCAAAACAACCUUGUCUCAUCACAGCAGUGGAUGUUCUCUUCAUCAAAGUCCUGUAGCAGACCARACAACACUUCUUUUUUUCCAUGCUUGAUGGGGGACUGAGGAGAGGCAGUGUGCAAGAGAGAAAUACACAAAAGAAAGGUAACUGAAAAAGUUCAUAUUGAGAUCUGUCAAAAUAUUGAGUAGUGUUUAGUUCUCAAAAUCUCUUUCCACUGCCAUUAUGGAGACUAUGGAACAAAAGUUCCCUGAGUACUGAGAGCCUAUUUCAGUGUCUUCCCAGAUGCAUUUUGGUGCUGAGCACUCUGGGUCUCAGUAUUUGUCUCAUGUUUAAGCACCAUCAAGAUCCACAGUUAARGAAUUCAGCUCUGCUAUAUUCUCUAUGGGGCCCAAUCCCAUAGGCCUUCUAAGAGCAUUGCUAAUUUUUUCCUUGUACAAGGAAGUACCAUGCAAAUUGAGACGUUCAGAUUCUGUUAAGUGGAAGGGUGCUUAGAAGUUAGCUUUUGCUCAGAGCUGUGACRUCUGCGUGCUUUGGUGGAGCAAAUCCC